AGGGCACCACCAGGAGUGGAGCCUGCGGCUUAAUUUGACUCAACACGGGGAAACUCACCCGGCCCGGACACCGUAAGGAUUGACAGAUUGAUAGCUUUUUCAUGAUUCGGUGGAUGGUGGUGCAUGGCCGUUCUUAGUUCGUGGAGCGAUUUGUCUGGUUUAUUCCGAUAACGAGCGAGACUCUAGCCUACUAAAUAGUUCGCACAUUGUCUCUGUGUGUGUGACUUCUUAGAGGGAUUUUCGGUGUUCAGCCGCACGAAAUUGAGCAAUAACAGGUCUGUGAUGCCCUUAGAUGUCCGGGGCUGCACGCGCGCUACACUGGCAAAAUCAGCGUGCUUGUCCUUCCCCGAAAGGGGUUGGUAAACCCUUGAAAAUUUGCCGUGAUUGGGAUUGGAAAUUGCAAUUAUUUUCCAUGAACGAGGAAUCCCAAGUAAGUGCGAGUCAUCAGCUCGCGUUGAUUACGUCCCUGCCCUUUGUACACACCGCCCGUCGCUGCCCGGGACUGAGCCAUUUCGAGAA
rnacentral:rRNA from 1 species